UAUAAAUCAUACUAGCCAGCUGAUGUACAUGUUGUUCUAGCAGGGCUGAUACAUUACCACAUCAUGUGGAGCACAAGCCAAAAGUUGUGUUUUCAUUCACACUCUGCUGAUAGCAGCUGAGUAGCAGCAGCCAUGGAGCAACAUCCAGAGCUCUCAGUCCUGGUUCACCACUGGGUGGAGGCACCAAGAGACAUUGGAUGAGAAGCUGUGGAGCAAGAUCCUUCAGGAGCUGGCUGAUGAGGCACAUGUUUCAGAUUUCUCAGCCUAGAAGAGAGAAGGAUGAACAAAAAUCUCAGAUCAAAGCCUUGAUCUGGCAAAUGAAAUGUUACUCAACAGCAGCUAGGAGCUACCAGCCUUCAACCAAUAAGCACUGAAUGAGCAGCAUAGUUAUCUGGGAGAGAACUUCCUUCUGAUCAUAACUAUCUCAGGGAGAGAAGCAUACUGAUAGCCAGACUUCGUGCCACCAUUUCUAUCAUAACUUUGGAAUACGUUUGACAAAGUAGGUCACAUUAAAAACCUGCAGUUAUGAGAUCAAAAAGUACAUAUUAGUCCAACAACCAGUGCCAGGGUUGAAGGCAAAAUGCAGCACUCCUACAUCCCAGUCCAGUACCCUGUCAGAGAUUGUUUUCUCCAGGCUUUCUUAGCUACCCCUGGAUGCAACAGCAGCAUAUUUGCCCGCUGCCUCCACUUCAGUGAUACUCACCUUCAGAAAAAGGAUAUCAGCUAAUUAAGAGCAAGCUCUCUGAUGAUCAGUUCAUUUGCAAUUCCUCGCAUUGGGAUUGCAUAAUACAAGGCAUAACACCAGCCACUCCAGCAAGAGAAAUCGAGAGAGAUGUGCAAAUGGAGAGAGGAGGAUUUGUCCUUGAGGGAGGACGUUUAGCAUACCUAGAAACACAUUUUUAAAAUUAAUUGAUCCCCUUAAGGAAUUGUGAGUGAUGGAUUAGAGACUUUAACCGGGGAAGAAGUCUGUGAUACUGUGUGUUUGAGAAGGCACUGAAAAAGGAUGUGAGUUUGCAGUCUCAUGUGCUUAAGCUAAACCAUCAGCCUCGGUGUGGAACAUAUUCAUUGGCUGGAGAAGGAAUGGAUCAAGGGGACCCUUGGAGCUAUGUGCAAGCAGAGGAGGAUCUGUGGCACCUAUUCCUGGCCAGCCGGCCAGCUCUGAGAGCAGCUGUGUGAGAAGCAGAGAGGGAAAGCAGCACCAGAGAGGAAUAUAGCAUGCAGUGGUAUUUUAAAAACAUAUUCUUGACUCUGAGAAAUGUCUAGAUAAGCAGGAUAGCAGAUGAUAUGGAGAUUUCUUAUUUUAAUGGAAAAGAACAGCAGGACAUUGCUUCAGAUGUGCUUCCUUACUAAAUCUGCCUGUUAGUUGUCGAGUCUGAGUCAUCUCUAUCUUAGUAUGCAACAUGUUCCACCAAGUAAUGAGAUUUCUUUGAGUUUCCACUGUAUUAGACUUCUCUACACAUCAAAUAUUUAAUAAGAAUUAGCAUCCAGCCAUCCUCCCUCCUCCCCGCCACAAUAAUAUUAACUUCGACUCAGACACCAAUAUUCUGCAAUUCACAGUGCUGUGAAGGGUAAGUGAAAAAGCCCUGUAUAUUUUUCCAAGGGAUUUGCUGUGCUCCUCUGCAAACACACAGUAAUUGAGAAAAAGGAUGACCGACAGAAAAAGACACAGUAAACUGAAGGUGUGAAAAGAGACUUCUCAUUAGUCUUUGUGUCAGUUAUGGUAUCUGAGGAACAAUUUCAUAGCAAUAGCAUAUUUAUUUGAUGUGGCACAGAUAUCUGGGCUCACUGUUACGGAUGGCAUUUGCUCUUUAUGCUUAAAGUACCUCUUUAACAAAAUGGCACUCCAUAAAAAUUUAGUGUGUUCCUACUGUAAUUAAAAAGCCCUAGUCAUUUUUGCAUUUAUGAUAUAAACUAUAAUAGCUGUAAAAUCCUGCAAUUAAUUUGCGCCAACAUUUCAUACUUGAGAAAUUCUCAUUACAAAUUUCAUUACUUAUUCACUUAUCUGUAAUUUCUCCUAUAUAACCUAAAGAAUAUUAACAAAUUUAGAGUCACUUUUGCUCUAUUAAAAGCUAAAUAGAAAAGCCUUUCACCUAGCAAGCCAAUCGUGGUAACAUUCUCAAGCCUGCUCCAAAACGGCAGUGAGCCACAGUCAGGCUAUACAGAAAGAGAUAUUCUUUAUGAAGUACAAGCCAUAACCAACAUGCAAAGCCCUUUGGAAACUGUGUGAUGUAUCCUUAGCUAAUCCACUGCACCUUCAUUAGUUUAAAAGCAUUAAAAGGCUUGAAUGUCUUUCUUAACUAUGGCUGUGAAAUUGACAUGCAGCAGGGCAGGACAGGCAAUAAAACAACAAGGAAACAGUUAUCUAUCCAGGCAAGAGCAACUAUGCAAAGUCCAGAAAACAGGGAUUCUGUUUCCCCUUCCCUCUUCAGUUUUCUUCCCUGCUGCUCACAGUCUUAAUUCGCUCUCUGGAUGUAUGCAGGACUUCAAGGGCUGUAAAAUCUUAAGGAGCACUGAGGAAAAGCCCCAGUUUUCCUCCAAAUAAACAAUGGUGCUACUAAAAUAAGACAGAAGGACUGGCAGAAGAGGGCUGCACAUGUGAGCCCAUGGGAGAGGGAGAGGAACUUCAGCUGCCCUGUAGUUUCUCCUGGCUGCUGAAUUCUGACUGCAUGACAGCAAAAACACCCAACUGCUCUUGAAAUUUUGACCAUGUCUUCUUCAUGGCUAUAUGUUCUCUGUCAUCUUCUCUGGGGCCAGUGCUCCAAUCCUGCAGAUGCCAGAACUCUGCUGAAAGCAUCUUAAGUAAAGAAAAACAUCAUCUCCAAGACCGCUGACUACUCCUUGCUCCAUCCAAGUCCAGUCCAGCUCUGCCCAACUUCCAAAUGGCAAUUCCAAAUAUGCUUUUCAUGAAUUUUCACCCUUUCUAUUCAUUUAAAGUCAUUUUUACUUAUAAGAGGAUGCUCUACUCCUUUCCCAUGUUUUUUCUGUGUUUUUGC